UACAGAGGUCUCAAGCGUUGUUCGGAUUCAUUGGGCGUAAAGGGUGCGUAGGUGGCGGGGCAAGUCAGGUGUGAAAUCUCGGGGCUCAACCCCGAAACUGCACUUGAUACUGCCUUGCUCGAGUACUGGAGAGGAGACUGGAAUUUACGGUGUAGCGGUGAAAUGCGUAGAUAUCGUAAGGAAGACCAGUGGCGAAGGCGGGUCUCUGGACAGUUCCUGACGCUGAGGCACGAAGGCCAGGGGAGCAAACGGG
rnacentral:rRNA from 1 species